GCCAGCGUGGGGUAGUGGUUUGAGUGUUGGACUACAACUCGAGACCAGGGUUCGAGUCCCCACUUGGCC
rnacentral:tRNA from 1 species